AUAAAAAAUAAAAACGUUUAGCAAUAUUUGCGAUUUUAAUAGAAUCCAUAAGUUUGUGCUUUAACGUGAAAUAUGAAUGACUCGUGGUGAGAAAAGGGUGUAAGAAAUUUUUGUUCCUAAAUUCAACAAAUACUCCCCGUUUCAACGUCACUGAGUCAACAAGAAAAAAGUGAAAAUACCUGGCCAAGGAAAAUACAUUGGCUCUUUGAAAUAGGACACCGAGUAUACGCAACUAUAUGACGAGUUGCUAUCGUACGGAAACUUAAAGAACGUCGUUACAGAAACGACUGAACAAUAACUGACAUCCGAAGCUGACUUAAAAAAGAAACAAAUAAAAUACUUUGGAGCAUUUGGAUUUAUUACAAUCUCAUGGAUAAGACAAUGAAUAUCAGUUAACGAAACUGCUCAAGAAGACUGUUGUUCCUGAAUAAAGAAUAAAGCGCGAC